rnacentral:lncRNA from 1 species
UCUCAUCUAUCAUUCUUAAUCCACAGUUACUCAUGGUUUACAGUCAAACAAAUUUAGUAAUGCAAGUUUGUUCUUCAUAGGGUCUUUACUUUUUUUCCAGGAGCAUUUUAAAAUCAUAUUUGGCAAUAUGAUUGUUUCAUAGUUGUUCUGAAAGAGCAAAACAUGGCUUAUCUUCGUAUCAUGAAUGGCUGAAACACCCCAGUAUCCCAUCACCAAGAGAGUUCAGGCCAGGAAAGUUAAAAAAAAUAAGCUGCAACAGAACAAGACACUGAUACAAUUACUAAAUUCGGUGCUGUCCAAUGGAUUGUUUCUCUGUUCUAUAAAGGUUAGUUAAUUGUUCACUGAUUAUUAUUAUUAUUACUUAAGUUAUGAUGAAUGUGCUUUAAGCAGUAUGUGUUUCUGCAGGUUAGUAGAUUUAUUUUAAGGUAUAUCCUCUUUUUACUUAGCACAUUCCAAGCUACUUUUAAGGCUGCUGUGCUGCAUGCUUUACUAGGUGUUAAUUAUAGCUAUAGUAAUUAGCUUGUUAGACUGUCAGCUUGUCAGAGAGUACACUGAUUCCAUUUAGGCUUCGUUAAGUUCUAUCCCCUCUGGCAUUUUUGCUAUACCUUCUCUCCUCCCAAAUGUGUUUCCAAAGCUUGUGGGAGUGGCAUUUAUUUACAGGGAGGCAAGAGUGGACGAAAAAGUGGACUUGUUUUCUUGGAGAAAAGAAGGCAUUUUGUUGUCAAAGGCCCCUUUGUGUGACCUAAAUUUUAAGUCUGGUCUCAUCAGAGCCUGUCCAAAUAGAACCUCAGCCCAACCCAGCAAGAGGAAAGAGUAUAAUACGGGCAUUCAAGAACAAAAGACACUGAAAUGGCACUUUUUGAACCAACAUCUUCACCCAGAGCCUCCAGUUGCUGUUGUUUGCAGGAGCCAGAAGCUGGUAGGUAAGAAUAUUUGGUAUUUAUGGACUGGUGUUGAACUUAUGAUGAUUAGACUGGAAUAAGUACUCCGGAAGCUCUUAUUUAAGCAAAAACAGGUAACUGUCUUUGAUUGACUCAGAAAAUUCAUUAAUAGUUCAGGAGGGAAGGGGAAAAAUAUAAGCCCCAGAGCUGUCUUCCAUGCAUGCAAGGUAUUGCUGGCAGCCAUUAUGGAGGAUACCCCAUGUACGUCUCUCUCCCUCUAAUGAAAUGAACAAUAGCUGGCUGACUUCCUGAAAGAAGGAAGACAGAUGGGUACUUGGGAAAGACAAGUGGACAAAAGAUGCCCAAGCUCACCACUGUGACUGCUCCCCCUCUCGACUGGUUCAGGUUUCUUGUUAGAUGCUUUAGCGGUUGUUUGGGUGGCUUUCAUUUACUGUUUUUCUUCCCAGCAUCGUCUUCUUAACAUCCUCUGGCUAGGAAAGCUCAAGAUUCGUAUCUAAGGUUUAUUCUCAAUUGGGCAUGAUAUCAUUGUCUCAACAUAAGCUCUGACAACUAAGCCAUUGUGCUGGUGCAACAUCACUGAUCCACAUGGAUAUCUCUGUAGCACUCUGUGGCAUUCACCUUUGUAGAACGUGUUUG